rnacentral:rRNA from 1 species
AGAACGAACGCUGGCGGCAUGCCUAACACAUGCAAGUCGAACGCUCUUGGGGCUUCGGUCUCAGGGGAGUGGCGCACGGGUGAGUAGCGCGUGGGAACCUGCCCUGUUGUGGGGGAUAACCGAGGGAAACUUCGGCUAAUACCGCAUAAGCCGGUUGUCUUGAAGGAGAUGGCCGGGAAAGAUUUAUCGCGACAGGAGGGGCCCGCGUCGGAUUAGCUAGUUGGUGGGUAACGCCCACAAGGCGGUGAUCCGUAGCUGGUCUGAGAGGAUGAUCAGCCACACUGGGACUGAGACACGGCCCAGACUCCUACGGGAGGCAGCAGUGGGGGAAUAUUGGACAAUGGGCGCAAGCCUGAUCCAGCAAUGCCGCGUGAGUGAUGAAGGCCUUAGGGUUGUAAAGCUCUUUCGCCCGCGACGAUGAUGACGGUAGCGGAGAAGAAGCCCCGGCUAACUUCGUGCCAGCAGCCGC